GCGGCACGUUUUUAUUGCGUGAUUAGAAGAAGGGUUGCAAACGAAAAUCAGUUGGUGUGAUGCCGAAGGAAGUUAUCUCCUAACUCGAGCAAAGCUCUAUGAAACUCCCCUUUCUCCUUCUCAAACUCCAUAACUACAUCCUCUUCAAUUCGCUGAUUAUAUCAAUUCUUCUUUUCUCUCUUCUCUUCUCAAACUCCACCGCCACCGCCACCGCCACCACCACCACCACCAGAAGAUUACUGGUAAGAUCUCAAUAGCACUAUAAUCCAAUUCUUUACUUUCUAUAAAUAAAAAACUGUCGUUGCUCAGAAAAGUUUUUCAUCUUCUUUGUGGUAACUAU
rnacentral:lncRNA from 1 species